CUCUGUGGAUCAGUGGCGAACGGGUGAGUAACACGUGAGCAAUCUGCCCCUGACUCUGGGAUAAGCGCUGGAAACGGCGUCUAAUACCGGAUACGAGCUGCGAAGGCAUCUUCAGCAGCUGGAAAGAAUUUCGGUCAGGGAUGAGCUCGCGGCCUAUCAGCUUGUUGGUGAGGUAACGGCUCACCAAGGCGUCGACGGGUAGCCGGCCUGAGAGGGUGACCGGCCACACUGGGACUGAGACACGGCCCAGACUCCUACGGGAGGCAGCAGUGGGGAAUAUUGCACAAUGGGCGAAAGCCUGAUGCAGCAACGCCGCGUGAGGGACGACGGCCUUCGGGUUGUAAACCUCUUUUAGCAGGAAAGAAGCGAAAGUGACGGUACCUGCAGAAAAAGCGCCGGCUAACUACGUGCCAGCAGCCGCGGUAAUACGUAGGGCGCAAGCGUUAUCCGGAAUUAUUGGGCGUAAAGAGCUCGUAGGCGGUCUGUCGCGUCUGCUGUGAAAACCCGAGGCUCAACCUCGGGCCUGCAGUGGGUACGGGCAGACUAGAGUGCGGUAGGGGAGAUUGGAAUUCCUGGUGUAGCGGUGGAAUGCGCAGAUAU
rnacentral:rRNA from 1 species